UUUUAUCAAAGUCAAAUGAACUUAGGGCUUUUAUGCUCCCGUCUUUUGUUUGAUCGGGCAAUUGAACAUGAACGAAAGAAGAUAGAACGCAUCGGCAGGCAAGAAGGAAGCACGAAGGCAAACAAGUAGAUAAGGUAUUCGGUAAUUGCAGAUCCAUCGCAUGCGAGGGGAGCAUCCCCGGUGGUCGACGAGAUCGAAGAAAAGAAGGGAAGAAGCACUGAAGCUUCUGUCUUCUUGCACCGAUAGCAAGCUACGAAGCGAGGGAGGCGAUUAGCGGCUUUUGGAUCGAUGCUUCGGUGACGGCUAAGAGGUUGCGAAGGGAAGGAGCCAGAAGAGGGGUUUCGUUGGUCUCGUUGGGUGCAUAAAUGGAGUGGAAUGCGAGGAAAGCUGCUCCGAUGGAGCAAUCAAAUGGCGAUAACAACUCCGCUGAGGCAUCCGAUGGCAGUCGAAGCGAAGAAGGGCGUUGCGAUGGGGGCUGUUCCGGCAACCUCCUUGAAGCUUCUUGAUUUUUUUUUUUUUUUUUUUGUUUGUCUCUAAACAGGAACGUUGAAGAUAAAUGGGGUAUUUAGGCUUGAUUUUCGGCGGGAAAGAAGGAAGGAUGGAGGUGGAGUCAAGGAUGGCAGCAACUCCGGUUGCUGCUAUGUUUUUCCGAUGAACAGGGUAGAAACGAUCUAAGGGAAGUGUUUUGUUUGUUUGAUUCUUUUAACAGGAAAAGAUAAAAGGAAGAGGGGGAGGCUUUUGACCUCUUUAUUUUCUUGGCAGAAAUCAAAGGAAAAGAAGAAGAAGGGAAAGGAGUUGUUGGAAGGGGGCUGCUAUGGUUGACUACAAUCGGGAAGAAAGUGAGAAGGAGAACGAGCACUUCAGAGAGAUACAGUGCGAGGGAUUUUGGUUUUCCUUCUGAAAUUAAUGAUUUGAGUGCCCAAACUUUUCCAAGAUACAAUGAUCAGAUUUGAUUUCUCGGAAGGAAAAGGUAAGUUGAAAUGUGGAAGAAACACUUCCAAUUUGGCUAUCAAUUUAACAGGUGUACUUUGGUUUUAACUUGCAAGCUAUGUGUUGACUUAAUUGAACAUAUAUUUUUGUGUAUUAUUUAUUGAUUAGUAUGGA